UACAUGGGGUGCAAACGUUGCUCGGAAUUAUUGGGCGUAAAGGGCGCGUAGGCUGUGCUGUAAGUCAGGCGUGAAAGCCCCGGGCUCAACCUGGGAAUUGCGCUUGAUACUGCGGCGCUGGAAGGUGGGAGAGGAUGGCGGAAUUCCCAGUGUAGAGGUGAAAUUCGUAGAUAUUGGGAAGAACACCGGUGGCGAAGGCGGC
rnacentral:rRNA from 1 species